GUCACUUUGCCGGAGUGGUUAACGGGAUCGCCUGCUAUUUCUUGAGCUAGCGGUUGUGCUUUGCACGCGAGUGUUCGAAUCGCUCAGGUGACG